AACGAACGCUGGCGGCGUGCCUAACACAUGCAAGUCGAGCGAAUGAAAUUCCUUCGGGAACGGAUUUAGCGGCGGACGGGUGAGUAACACGUGGGCAACCUGCCUCAUAGAGGGGAAUAGCCUUCCGAAAGGGAGAUUAAUACCGCAUAAGAUUGUAGUACCGCAUGGUACAGCAAUUAAAGGAGCAAUCCGCUAUGAGAUGGGCCCGCGGCGCAUUAGCUAGUUGGUGAGGUAACGGCUCACCAAGGCGACGAUGCGUAGCCGACCUGAGAGGGUGAUCGGCCACAUUGGGACUGAGACACGGCCCAGACUCCUACGGGAGGCAGCAGUGGGGAAUAUUGCACAAUGGGGGAAACCCUGAUGCAGCAACGCCGCGUGAGUGAUGACGGCCUUCGGGUUGUAAAGCUCUGUCUUCAGGGACGAUAAUGACGGUACCUGAGGGGGAAGCCACGGCUAACUACGUGCCAGCAGCCGCCGUAAGAC
rnacentral:rRNA from 1 species